rnacentral:miRNA from 1 species
UUCUUUGCUCUUCUCGGUCACAU